rnacentral:lncRNA from 1 species
UCAGAGUGAUAGUCUGUCACAGACAACUGCCUCUCCUGAAUCAAGUUGCCCAUGAAAAACAAUGGAGUUGUUUCUGGGUUUCUUGGGCCAGUCUCAGAAGUGAAGGGGACCGGAGGCUACAACUUUGUGAGUCUUGAAAGGUCAGGAGAAUGAAUCACCAAGUGAUCUAUGAGGGAAGCAUAUUCUACAGUUUGCAGACAGUCAGUCUAGCCCUGGGACCUUGAGGAGUAAGGAGUGACUAUCAAAACCCAGCCCCUUGGAGUUGUGGGUAGGACUCAUAUGGCAGCGAUGCCCAUUUGGACAUGAACUUGGUGGGACAAGUGCCAUGUAGAAACUGCAUUAAGUGUGAGCUCACUGUCCCUAGAGCCUGAAAUAACAUGAGGGAGACUAUACUCCCAAUUUGUCGGGAGCUAUUUCUGUUCUUGCUAUAUCUCCAAAAUGAAUAUCCC